rnacentral:rRNA from 1 species
GAUAAACGCUGGCGGCGUGCCUAAUACAUGCAAGUCGAGCGGUAAGGCUUUGCACUUAGUAUUUGAUCGUAGUAGUUUUACUACUAGAGCAACCCAAUUCAACCCCUAGGCUAGGGAAGAUGCGGCGAGGGAGAUCGAGUAAUAAGUGUAGAGUACACGAGCGGCGGACGGGUGAGUAACACGUGGGAAUCUACCCCAAACUGAGGGAUAAGCAUCGGAAACGGUGUCUAAUACCGCAUAUGGUCUUCGGAUUAAAGCUUCGGCGGUUUGGGAAGAGCCCGCGCAAGAUUAGCUAGUUGGUGAGGUAAUGGCUCACCAAGGCGACGAUCUUUAACUGGUUUGAGAGGAUGAUCAGUCACACUGGAACUGAGACACGGUCCAGACUCCUACGGAGGCAGCAGUAAGGAA